AACGAACGUUAGCGGCGCGCCUAACACAUGCAAGUCGAACGCGACAGGGGCAACUCUGUUGAGUGGCGCACGGGUGAGUAACACGUAGGUAAUCUCCCCCCGAGUGGUGGAUAACCUUCCGAAAGGAGGGCUAAUACAGCAUAAGACCACGGCUUCGAAAGAAGCUGAGGUCAAAGCGGAGGAUCGCAAGACUUCGCGCUUGGGGAUGAGCCUGCGGCCCAUCAGGUAGUUGGCGGGGUAACAGCCCACCAAGCCUAAGACGGGUAGCUGGUCUGACGGGAUGAUCAGCCACACUGGAACUGAGACACGGUCCAGACUCCUACGAGAGGCAGCAGUGGGGAAUCUUGCGCAAUGGACGAAAGUCUGACGCAGCGACGCCGCGUGGGUGAUGAAGGCCUUCGGGUUGUAAAGCCCUGUGGGGAGGGACGAAUAAGUUGCAGCUAAUACCUGCAGCGAUGACGGUACCUCCUUAGCAAGCACCGGCUAACUCUGUGCCAGCCGCCGCAGUAAUAC
rnacentral:rRNA from 1 species